AGUGCCUACAACUUUGGAAUCAGGAUUUUUCUUCCUAUAAGUUGCUCAUCCAGCGUCUAAUAGUGCCUCUACACAGGCUUGUAAAGUUUGUGAUUUAAGCAUUGUGUUUUAUUAUAGAAUAAAAUUAAUGGCUGGUUCAAAUAUCACAUAAUGAUUAACAUGCAACAUCUAUGAUAUUGAUCGGAGAUUACAUGAAUGACCAUUAUUGUGUAUGGGAUAAAAUUAACUGCAAUUAUUUGGGCUGAAUAGUUGUAUAUUUAUGAAUAUUUUUUGACUUGUUACCCAAUAAACAAUUUGCAGUAAUGAAACUACCUUUAUUCUCAGCACAAAAAGCUGCAAAAUUAUUAAGGGUUUUUGAUAUUUAUUGAGCUUCCUUUUUUGUUCUUAUCUUCGUUGUGCCCAUUAUGGUGCUAUCUUACACAUAAGCAUGCAAAACUUGGCCAGUUGAUAGCAUUUUUUGUUGGGCUGUUGAACAUCUUAGAGGGUUCACUAUCCUACUCUUUCAAAUAGUUGCAUGAAAUUGAUUUGGUAGGAAGUGCAAUGAAUGCAGGUUACUUCUACUAGGUUUUUUAAAAAUGUAAAACUGCAUGAAUUCUUAAUACACAGAUUCACUCAUGCAUGCACAUAAAAAGUUUAAAGAUAGAAAUUUUUGUGGAGAAUGUCUAGUCUGUAUUACUAAAAGAAUAGGGUGAUUUUUUUUUU
rnacentral:misc_RNA from 1 species